rnacentral:lncRNA from 1 species
GUGACCAACGGACACUGCGCGAGAGGGCGAAGACGUCUCUUCGGGAAUUUGGCGCCUUUCUGGGAUCAGUCGUGACUAUAUCCGGCUGAAAAAUAAAGAAAUAAAAUAAAAACAGUCCGCGAAGCCAUCGGAUUUAAGCGACCGCUCUCUGGAACAAGUGAGCACAGCACAUGUGAAGUUAAAAUGUCCUGGGUGUCUUUGUUUGAAAAAAAAAAACAACAACCACCAUUUCUUGGAUAUAACAACAGCUAAGGCGAAAUCUGAGAACAAACUCAAGUACAGCACCGCACUCCGGUCGCUGAGGCAAAUAAUGACUAUAAUGCAAACUACUCAUCCACACAACUGCCUGAGGUUGGCACCUUUGAAC